AGGAGCUUGCUCCUCUGAUUUAGCGGCGGACGGGUGAGUAACACGUGGGUAAUCUGCCUGUAAGACGGGGAUAACUCCGGGAAACCGGGGCUAAUACCGGAUAAUAAGAGAAGAAGCAUUUCUUCUUUUUGAAAGUCGGUUUCGGCUGACACUUACAGAUGAGCCCGCGGCGCAUUAGCUAGUUGGUGAGGUAACGGCUCACCAAGGCGACGAUGCGUAGCCGACCUGAGAGGGUGAUCGGCCACACUGGGACUGAGACACGGCCCAGACUCCUACGGGAGGCAGCAGUAGGGAAUCUUCGGCAAUGGGCGAAAGCCUGACCGAGCAACGCCGCGUGAGCGAUGAAGGCCUUCGGGUCGUAAAGCUCUGUUGUUAGAGAAGAACAAGUACGAGAGUAACUGCUCGUACCUUGACGGUACCUAACCAGAAAGCCACGGCUAACUACGUGCCAGCAGCCGCGGUAAUACGUAGGUGGCAAGCGUUAUCCGGAAUUAUUGGGCGUAAAGCGCGCGCAGGCGGUCUCUUAAGUCUGAUGUGAAAGCCCACGGCUCAACCGUGGAGGGUCAUUGGAAACUGGGAGACUUGAGUGCAGGAGAGAAAAGUGGAAUUCCACGUGUAGCGGUGAAAUGCGUAGAGAUGUGGAGGAACACCAGUGGCGAAGGCGGCUUUUUGGCCUGUAACUGACGCUGAGGCGCGAAAGCGUGGGGAGCAAACAGGAUUAGAUACCCUGGUAGUCCACGCCGUAAACGAUGAGUGCUAGGUGUUUGGGGGGGUUCCACCCUCAGUGCUGAAGUUAACACAUUAAGCACUCCGCCUGGGGAGUACGACCGCAAGGUUGAAACUCAAAGGAAUUGACGGGGGCCCGCACAAGCAGUGGAGCAUGUGGUUUAAUUCGAAGCAACGCGAAGAACCUUACCAGGUCUUGACAUCCUCUGACCACUCUAGAGAUAGAGCUUUCCCCUUCGGGGGACAGAGUGACAGGUGGUGCAUGGUUGUCGUCAGCUCGUGUCGUGAGAUGUUGGGUUAAGUCCCGCAACGAGCGCAACCCUUGACCUUAGUUGCCAGCAUUCAGUUGGGCACUCUAAGGUGACUGCCGGUGACAAACCGGAGGAAAGGUGGGGGAUGACGUCAAAUCAUCAUGCCCCUUAUGACCUGGGCU
rnacentral:rRNA from 2 species